rnacentral:rRNA from 1 species
UACGAAGGGUGCAAGCGUUACUCGGAAUUACUGGGCGUAAAGCGUGCGUAGGUGGUUUGUUAAGUCUGAUGUGAAAGCCCUGGGCUCAACCUGGGAAUUGCAUUGGAUACUGGCAGGCUAGAGUGCGGUAGAGGAUGGCGGAAUUCCCGGUGUAGCAGUGAAAUGCGUAGAGAUCGGGAGGAACACCGGUGACGAAGGCGGAUCUCUGGGCCAUUACUGACGCUGAGGAGCGAAAGCGUGGGGAGCGAACAGG